rnacentral:rRNA from 1 species
AUGUCCACCUCUCCCAACACCUCCGCGUCCACCGCAUCGACAACCAUUAGCUCCCAGCUUUCCGCCGCUGCCGGUGCUCUCACCAAUUCCUCCGUCUCAGUUGGGUCGAUGAUGACUGGGCAGGUCGCCAUGCCCAGCCUCGCCCAGCUGGUGACGGUGAGACUCUCAAGGGAAAAUCACCUCCUCUGGAAGGCCCAGAUUGUUCCCAUCCUGCGGGGGCAUCAGCUUCUCGGCUUCGUCAACGGUGAGAGCACUCCCCCGGCGCGCCUCAUUCCCGCCUCCACCGCUGAAGGGGCGGAGAUGGUGAUCAACCCAGCCCAUACGGUCUGGCACGCCCAAAACCAGCUGCUCCUUGCCGGAAUCCUCUCCACGCUCUCGCCCGACAUCAUCGCGCGCACGCUGAACUUCACGACCUCGACGCAGAUAUGGGCGGCACUCGAGCGCAUGUACGCCUCGCAGUCUUGCUCUGGGAUCAUGUAG